GUUCUAUACUACUAGGUUUGAUUGUCACGGUCCACUGCGCGUGUGACAAGACGGCGGGCGCGACUUGUGUUACCACUCUAGGGACCGAUACUACAGCUGCUGGGACCGAUGUUGGGAAGUUGUGUAGCGGAAACAACAAGUUUGUAACUUGCAUCGCAAACGCAGAAUGCAAGACAGAUACUACAUUUAAAACAACUUUUGACGCGGCCAACACAUACAUAAACAACCUUUGUAACAGCGGCACCAUGGCAACAGUUUCAGUUUUGACCAUGUUUCUCACCCUGUUCGUGAUGCUCUUCAAGUGAACGACUUUCUGAUCGGACCUGACCAAGGAGACAUCCAUCUUUGCCAUGAUAUCUACACUUCGAACACGAUACAUUGGACAAUAGUGAUUUAAUAAAACACAUGGUUACAUACGUAACUAAUACGUAGAUUAGACUGUGUAUUUUUUUUCUACGCUUUGUAAUAAACUUUUGAUAGUACGUGUAUGUUUUUCAAAUAUGUUCUACAUAUGAAAUCAGUUUCUGUGACUGAGAAUGAUAAAUGAUGGCUUCAAGGUGAUCCAAUAUCUUUUGCUUUCAGUAGAUCAUCUUCGCUGGCCAAGGCACCAUUCCGUAUAACUACCGCAUUACGAAAUGUACUACGUAACGGUACCUUGACGUGCGAAUAUGUCACUAGCUAUACCACAUGGCAGAUUCAACUACCUUCACAGUUCAUAUCUCCUUUUCAAAUUAAACUUAUUAUAUCUAUACUAAUUUAUGGAUUCACCACGGAUUUAUCAUCAUUUUGAACUUGGAAGAAUAUUUACACGUUAGCCAACUUAAUCAGUUUAAAAUGUUUAAUUAGAAAUAUCUAUUUAAUUAAAGAUUUAGUUACGUAGUGUUAUACACGAGUCUUUGAAAGGAGUAUUUUUUAUCUGAAUUGAUAAAUACAUUUUUUGUUUAUAUAUAUAUAUAAUUAUACUUACAGCUUGGAUAAUUAUUUUUAUUUGAUGUGUUCACGAUGGCAAACUAGUUUUCCCAUUUUUUUUCUCUUUUAUACGAUAAGAAAAAAGUUAUAUGAUUUUUCUUUUAGUGCAAGUAUAUAGUUAUAAAAUAAGAACAAAACACCGAAUAUGUUUUAUGUUUGCAAAAUAUUGCAUAUUUCAAGUAUAUUAUUAAAUAGGAUAUUAAAUCUGUAUAAAAUAUUUACCUCUCUUUACUUUUUCAACACGUUUGUCUUUUUUAUAUUAACGUUAAACAAUCUAGCUGUAAAAGAAUCUGUGGUUUGAUUGUGUCACCAAGAGCAUACUUUAAGUAUGAUUAAAAUGAAUAAUUAUCAACUUCUCUUAAAAAAA